rnacentral:rRNA from 1 species
UACGUAGGGGGCAAGCGUUAUCCGGAAUUACUGGGUGUAAAGGGUGAGUAGGCGGCAUGGUAAGCCAGAUGUGAAAGCCUUGGGCUUAACCCGAGGAUUGCAUUUGGAACUAUCAAGCUAGAGUACAGGAGAGGAAAGCGGAAUUCCUAGUGUAGCGGUGAAAUGCGUAGGUAUUAGGAAGAACACCAGUGGCGAAGGCGGCUUUCUGGACUGAAACUGACGCUGAGGCACGAAAGCGUGGGGAGCGAACAGG